rnacentral:rRNA from 1 species
UACGAAGGGGGCUAGCGUUGUUCGGAAUCACUGGGCGUAAAGCGCACGUAGGUGGAUCGCUAAGUCAGGGGUGAAAUCCUGGAGCUCAACUCCAGAACUGCCUUUGAUACUGGCAAUCUCGAGUCCGGGAGAGGUGAGUGGAACUGCGAGUGUAGAGGUGAAAUUCGUAGAUAUUCGCAAGAACACCAGUGGCGAAGGCGGCUCACUGGCCCGAUACUGACGCUGAGGCACGAAAGCGUGGGGAGCAAACAGG